rnacentral:rRNA from 1 species
GAUGAACGCUGGCGGCGUGCUUAACACAUGCAAGUCGAACGAUGAAGCCCAGCUUGCUGGGUGGAUUAGUGGCGAACGGGUGAGUAACACGUGAGUAACCUGCCCUUGACUCUGGGAUAAGCCUGGGAAACUGGGUCUAAUACUGGAUAUGACUUCUCAUCGCAUGGUGGGGGGUGGAAAGAUUUAUUGGUCUUGGAUGGACUCGCGGCCUAUCAGCUUGUUGGUGAGGUAAUGGCUCACCAAGGCGACGACGGGUAGCCGGCCUGAGAGGGUGACCGGCCACACUGGGACUGAGGCACGGCCCAGCCUCCUACGGGAGGCAGCAGUGGGGAAUAUUGCACAAUGGGCGCAAGCCUGAUGCAGCGACGCCGCGUGAGGGAUGACGGCCUUCGGGUUGUAAACCUCUUUCAGUAGGGAAGAAGCGAGAGUGACGGUACCUGCAGAAGAAGCGCCGGCUAACUACGUG